CUAGUUUUGGCACAGGCAGACGGACACUCAGAAUUUUGUACACAUUUUUCUCUACCUAUUCAAGUUAAAGCAAUCAUUUUAUUUCACUUAAUUCUGUAGGAAUUUAAUCAAGUUUCAAUUGAAAUGGUUUAGGUGGUAGAACUUUAAGAAUUUUCGCACUGAGUGAUUUUUUCCACCAUUUCCGUGUCACUGCCUACAUUGCUCUCAACUACAGCAAGGUUUGGCAAAAUAUCUGUAGUUUUGCUGUUAUUUAAUUUUUUUCUACACUUCUUUUUAUUACGUUUUCAAGUCAUUUUUGUUGUGCACCAGUUAACUCGUUGCCAUUUUCAUUUUAUUAGUUUGAAAAUCCAUUUAGCAUUGUUUGAACUUAGAAUUUUCUGCACGGUAUAUUAUUUGUCUU